AUUGAACGCUGGCGGCAGGCCUAACACAUGCAAGUCGAGCGAGCGGCGGACGGGUGAGUAAUGUAUGGGGACUGCCCGAUAGAGGGGGAUAACUACUGGAAACGGUGGCUAAUACCGCAUACUAUCGGAUAACCCAUAUGGGAUUAGCUAGUAGGUGGGGUAACGGCUCACCUAGGCGCAGAUCGCUAGCUGGUCUGAGAGGAUGAUAAGCCAAACUGUGACUGCGACACGUCCCAGACGCCUACGGAGGCAGCAGGGGGGAAUAUUGCACAAUGGGCGAAAGCCUGAUGCAGCCAUGCCGCGUGUAUGAAGAAGGCCUGAGGGUUGUAAAGUACUUUCAGCGGGGAGGCGUUACCCGCAGAAGAAGCACCGGCUAACUCCGUGCCAGCAGCCGCGGUAAUUC
rnacentral:rRNA from 1 species